CGGGAAAUAUCUUGCUAAAAAGACUUUCUUCAACUCAUCCCAUGUUGCGACUGAGUUGGAUGGAAGGGACUGGAGCCAAGCUCUAGCUUUAUCCCUUAAUGAGAAUGGGAAUAAACGAAGUCUUAUAGCUUCGGGACUGACACCAUUAGCUUUGAUAGUAUCGGCAUAUUGCAAGAAUAUGGACAAAUGUAGAUUAGGG
rnacentral:lncRNA from 1 species